rnacentral:tRNA from 1 species
GCUUCCGUGGUCCAAUGGUUAGGAUUCCACCCUUCCAUGCAGUUGUAAGGUGGAGGUUCGUGUUCGAUUCACGGCGGUUGCA